rnacentral:tRNA from 1 species
GCCUGGGUGGCUCAGUUGGAUAGGCAUCUGACUUCGGCUCAGGUCAUGAUCUCAUGGUUCGUGGGUUUGAGCCCCACCUCGGGCU